rnacentral:rRNA from 1 species
GGGGAGGAAGGUGGGGAUGACGUCAAAUCAUCAUGCCCCUUAUGACCUGGGCUACACACGUGCUACAAUGGUUGGUACAACGAGUUGCGAGUCGGUGACGGCGAGCUAAUCUCUUAAAGCCAAUCUCAGUUCGGAUUGUAGGCUGCAACUCGCCUACAUGAAGUCGGAAUCGCUAGUAAUCGCGGAUCAGCACGCCGCGGUGAAUACGUUCCCGGGCCUU